rnacentral:rRNA from 1 species
UACGUAGGGAGCAAGCGUUGUUCGGAAUUACUGGGCGUAAAGGGCUCGUAGGCGGCCAACUAAGUCAGACGUGAAAUCCCUCGGCUUAACCGGGGAACUGCAUCUGAUACUGGAUGGCUUGAGUUCGGGAGAGGGAUGCGGAAUUCCAGGUGUAGCGGUGAAAUGCGUUGAUAUCCACAGGAACUCCGGUGGCGAAGGCGGCACGCUGGACCCCUUCUGACGCUGAGGCGCGAAAGCCAGGGGAGCGAACGGG